GAUUUCUAAAACCACUUGUACUCGGUGUGAUUAUAAAGCAAUGAGACUGAUUGUCAUGUGUCGUUUGUGGGAUCCGUCUCAGUUACUUUAUAGCCAUACCUGGUAUCUUAACACCACAGAUCAUG
rnacentral:pre_miRNA from 14 species